UUUUCUCCCUGUUCAGAAACAUGAAACACAGUUAGUGCUACUCAAACGGGCCUCAUCUUGAGAUGUUCGCUAUGUUGUGCAUGCUGACCUUCGACCUCCUGUUGGCACUAUACUCUUUAAGAACAAACCGAUCUUCCUCUGUCAAGAAUAAUGAACGUCUGUGUGAAGGCUUUGAAGGCUCUCGUCAGGAUGGUGAAGCUGUUCAUCGGAAACCUGCCCCGGGAGGCCACAGAGCAAGAGAUCCGCUCACUGUUUGAGCAGUAUGGGAAGGUGCUGGAAUGUGACAUCAUUAAGAACUAUGGCUUUGUGCACAUAGAGGACAAGACAGCGGCCGAGGAUGCCAUCCGUAACCUGCACCACUACAAGCUGCACGGGGUGAACAUCAACGUAGAAGCCAGCAAGAAUAAGAGCAAAGCUUCAACCAAGUUACACGUGGGCAACAUCAGUCCCACUUGUACCAACCAAGAGCUUCGGGCCAAGUUUGAGGAGUAUGGUCCAGUCAUCGAAUGUGACAUCGUGAAAGAUUAUGCCUUUGUACACAUGGAGCGGGCAGAAGAUGCAGUGGAGGCCAUCAGAGGCCUUGACAACACAGAAUUUCAAGGCAAAAGAAUGCAUGUGCAGUUGUCAACCAGCCGGCUUCGGACUGCUCCUGGAAUGGGAGACCAGAGUGGCUGCUAUCGGUGUGGAAAAGAGGGACACUGGUCCAAAGAGUGCCCAGUAGACCGUACAGGGCGUGUGGCAGACUUUACUGAGCAGUACAAUGAACAGUAUGGAGCAGUACGCACACCCUACACCAUGGGCUAUGGGGAAUCCAUGUAUUAUAAUGAUGCAUAUGGAGCACUCGACUACUAUAAGCGCUACCGGGUCCGCUCUUAUGAAGCAGUAGCGGCAGCAGCUGCUGCUUCUGCAUACAACUAUGCAGACCAAACCAUGUCUCAUCUGCCUCAAGUCCAGAGCUCAGCUGUAACCAGUCACCUCAAUUCCACUUCUGUUGACCCCUAUGACAGACACCUGUUGCCGAACUCUGGCGCUGCUGCCACCUCUGCUAUGGCUGCCGCCGCUGCCACCUCUUCCUCCUAUUAUGGAAGGGACAGGAGCCCACUGCGUCGUGCUGCAGCUGUGCUCCCCACAGUUGGAGAGGGCUACGGUUAUGGGCCAGAGAGUGAGCUGUCUCAGGCUUCAGCAGCUGCACGGAAUUCCCUGUAUGACAUGGCCCGAUAUGAACGGGAGCAGUAUGUGGACCGAGCACGUUACUCAGCCUUUUAAAAACUGGAGGUGUGAACCUCAAAUGGACUGAAUAACCCUGAGUUGGUUGCAGUCCCAGGAGCCUGAUGUUAAUGAGGCUGCCAGGAUGAAAUACAACACAACUGUUGGGGAUCCAAAUUCGGGUCUCACCCUAGCAGAACUGAUCAAGAACGUCACAACUUUUGAAGUCGAUUGGCACAGAUCAAGACCAAGAUUUGGCCCUUUGUCUGUAAUAAGUAGAGGAACUUGGUGACGGGACCAGGGCCCUUGUACUCGGAGCCAGGCUGCUCUCCAGGCAUUGUGUAAGCCUCUUGUGUUGUGCUCUCUUUCAGGUAGGAUAAUUGCGGACUGAACCCUCGGGCUGCGGUCAUAAAUGAGAACUUGCUUCGCGCGGUCCCUUUUGCCGGGAUGUUUCCAUUGCUUCAUGUUUCAGUAAACAAAGGAGUUUGUGACCAACUAUGUUUUCUUUCUUAAUUUAAUUCUUCUAAGUUGACUUUUCUUUCCUCUUUAUAUUAGUGUCUGUAGCCUUUCAAUCUGUUCCUUAUAUUCUCAGCCUCUGAGCAGCCCUGGGUAAGGAUUAUGCUGGCAUCCCUUUUCCUGUACAGUGGAACCCCUCUUUAUCUUGCUUUUCCUUAGGAGUUGAACCCUUCUCCCUGCCUACCUGCAGCACCUUUUCCCUUUAAAAUGACCAUGUAGUAGCAAGCAGCCUUUUCUCUGUUAAAUCUGGACUCUAACAGUGAAGCUACUCUUUUGAAGUUGCUAGGACCAUUGGGGGUUUUGUUGUUUUGUUUUUUUGUCUGACCUGUGAUCGUGAUACAGCAUUAGCUGAAAUUUAGCCUUGUUUUCUCCACUUUUUUUUUUUUU